rnacentral:rRNA from 1 species
UUGUUGGAACGGCAACUAAUACCGUAUACGCCCUACGGGGGAAAAAUUUAUUAGCUAUUAGAUUGAGCCUAUAUUAGAUUAGCUAGUUGGUGGAGUCAUAGCCUACCAAGGCAAUGAUUUAUAGCUGAUCUGAGAGGAUGAUCAGCCACACUGGAACUGAGAUACGGUCCAGACUCCUACGGGAGGCAGCAGUGGGGAAUAUUGGACAAUGGGCGAAAGCCUGAUCCAGCCAUGCCGCAUGAGUGAAGAAGGCCUUUGGGUUGUAAAGCUCUUUUAGUGAGGAAGAUAAUGACGGUACUCACAGAAGAAGUCCUGGCUAACUCCGUGCCAGCAGCCGCGGUAAUACGGAGAGGGCUAGCGUUAUUCGGAAUUAUUGGGCGUAAAGGGCGCGUAGGCUGGUUAGUAAGUUAAAAGUGAAAUCCCGAGGCUUAACCUUGGAAUUGCUUUUAAAACUGCUAGUCUAGAGAUUGAAAGAGGAUAGAGGAAUUCCUAGUGUAGAGGUGAAAUUCGUAAAUAUUAGGAGGAACACCAGUGGCGAAGGCGUCUAUCUGGUUCAAAUCUGACGCUGAGGCGCGAAGGCGUGGGGAGCAAACAGGAUUAGAUACCCUGGUAGUCCACGCUGUAAACGAUGAAUGUUAAAUAUGGGAAGUUUACUUUCUGUAUUACAGCUAACGCGUUAAACAUUCCGCCUGGGGACUACGGUCGCAAGAUUAAAACUCAAAGGAAUUGACGGGGACCCGCACAAGCGGUGGAGCAUGUGGUUUAAUUCGAUGCAACGCGAAAAACCUUACCACUCCUUGACAUG